rnacentral:rRNA from 1 species
UACGUAGGGUGCGAGCGUUGUCCGGAAUUAUUGGGCGUAAAGAGCUCGUAGGCGGUCUGUCGCGUCGAUCGUGAAAACUUGGGGCUUAACCCUGAGCUUGCGGUCGAUACGGGCAUCACUGGAGUUCGGCAGGGGAGACUGGAAUUCCUGGUGUAGCGGUGAAAUGCGCAGAUAUCAGGAGGAACACCGGUGGCGAAGGCGGGUCUCUGGGCCGAUACUGACGCUGAGGAGCGAAAGCGUGGGGAGCGAACAGG